ensembl:lincRNA
AUGCUGGGCAUCUGCACCUUAGGCAGGUGUCCCUUAAGGCCAACUCCAGAAGCAGGGGCCACCGGCAGCUCUUUCUUGGGCAGGGUGGCCUCAGAGAAGGUUACGUCCACCUGGCCAGCCCUGGUCUCCAGGUCGGCGGUGGGCAGCUGGAUACUGAGGUCAGGGGUUUUGAGGUCACUCUGGAUGGAGGGCAGGACGACUCCAGUCCCUACCUUAGGCCCUUUCACCUCCACAGACGCAUCCAAGGUCUUGCCGGGGACAGAGAUGCCAAAAGAGGGCAUCUUGAACUUGGGCCUUUUGAGCUUGCUGUCUUUGGUGGCCUCGUCCUUUUCUUCCAGGACCAGGUCCCCCUCCAGCUUGGUGUUGGGGGCCUGUAUGUCCACUUGCCCAGAGGGCAGCUCCACGUCCAGGUCUGGGACACUCACCUCAACCUUGGGACCUUUCACAUCCACCUUGGGGCCCUUUAUGUCCACUUGGGGCCCCUUGAGGUCCACCUUGGGCAUCUUGAUGCUGGGCAUCUGCACUUUGGGCUGGUGCCCCUUUAGGCCAGAUUUAAUGUCAGGUUCCCCUGGCAGCUCUUCCUUAGGCAGGGGGCUAUCAUGGAGGGUCACACCCACCUGGCCAUCCCUGGUGUCUAGGUUAGUGGCGGGCAGUUGGAUGCUGAGUUCUGAGCUCAUGAGGUCACCCUGUGUGGAAGGCAAGGCCACAUCGGCCUCUACCUUAGGCACUUUUAUGUCAACGGAUGCGUCCAAGGCCUUUCCAGUGGCAGACAGGCCGAAGGAGGGCAUCUUGAACUUGGGCAUUUUGAACUUGCUGUCUUUGGUGGCCACUUCCUUGUCUUCUGGGGCCAGGUCCUCCUCCAUCUUGGUGGUGGGGGCCUGUAUGUCCACCUGUCCAGAGGGCAGCUCCAUCUCCAGGUCAAGGCCACUCACCCCGCUCUUGGGGCCUUUCACGUCCAGCUUGGGGCCCUUGAUGUCCACCUGGGGGCCCUUGAGGUCCACCUUGGGCAUCUUGAUGCUGGGCAUCUGUACCUUGGGCAGAUGCCCCUUCAGGCUGGGACCUGAGUCGGGNNNNNNNNNNNNNNNNNNNNNNNNNNNNNNNNNNNNNNNNNNNNNNNNNNNNNNNNNNNNNNNNNNNNNNNNNNNNNNNNNNNNNNNNNNNNNNNNNNNNUCCAUGUCCAGGUCGGGGGCACUCACCUCAACCUUGGGGCCUUUCACCUCCAGCUUGGGGCCCUUGAUGUCCACCUGGGGGCCCUUGAGGUCCACCUUGGGCAUCUUGACACUGGGCAUCUGCCCCUUGGGCACUUGCCCCUUCAGGCUGGCUCCAUCAGCAGGGGCCGCCGGCAGCUCUUCCUUAGGCAGGGUGGCCUCAGGGAGGGUCACGUCCACCUGGCCAGCGCUGUCCCCCAUUUCGGCGGGGGGCAUCUGGAUGCUGAUGUCAGAGGUUUUGAGGUCACCCUGGAUGGAGGGCAGCACCACAUCGACUUCCACCUUGGGUGCCUUCACCUCCACGGACGUGUCCAAUGUCUUGACGGGGGCAGACAGGCCAAAGGAGGGCAUCCUGAACUUGGGCAUUUUGAACUUGCUGUCUCUGGUGGCCACUUCCUUGUCUGCCAGGGCCAGGUCCCCCUCCAGCUUGGCACUGGGGGCCUGUAUGUCCAUCUUCCCAGCAGACAGCUUCAUAUCCAGGCUGGGGGCACUCACCUCACCCUUGCGCCCUUUCACGUCCAGCUUGGUGCCCUUGAUGGUCACCUGGGGGCCCUUAAGGUCCACCUUGGGCAUCUUGAUGCUGGGCAUCUGCAUCUUGGGUAGGUGCCCCUUCAGGCCGGCUCCAGAGUCAGGGUCUGCCAGAAGGUCUCCCUCAGGCAAGGUGGCCUUGGGGAGAGUCACGUCCACCUGGCCAUCCCUGGUGUCCAGGUUGAUGGCAGGCAGCUGGAUGCUGAGGUCAGGGCUCCUGAGGUCACCCUGUGUGGAAGGCAAGGCCACAUCAGCCUCCGCCUUGGGUGCCCUCACCUCCACAGACGCGUCCCAGGCUGGGCCGAUGGCGGACCCGCUGAAGGAGGGCAUCUUGAACGUGGGCCUUCUGAGCUGGCCCUCUCCUGCGUCCUGGUCCCUGUGUCCCUUCUUGAUGUUCUCCUCUGUGGUCGCCGCGUCUCUCUUUUGUGUCGCUCCCACUUGUCUCUGCUCCUGCUCUUCCCCUGGCAGGGCGUCUCCUGGGCCCACCGCGUGAGGUCCCCUCGUCGUCCUCCUGUCUUCAUGGGCCGCCUCCCGUUUCCCUUCCCCUCCUGCUCUCGGGGGGCUUGCUCUCCCUUCCCGACUUGGUGACCGUCCCGUGGAGCUCCUUGGGGCCCUGGGCAUCUUCGCCUUGGCCCCCCUCCUCUCUGGGUCCUCAUCUUGCUGUGUCUCCCCCUUGUCCUGCGGUGUCUUUGGUGUCUUCUCUUCUUGUUCUUUCCUCCUUGCAGCGUCUGCCUGGGGCCCUGUGCCCACUGGUGUGUCCUCUUCUGGAGUGGCCUCUGUCCUGCCCCUCUCGUCCUCUCCUGGUGACGUCUGCUUUCCCUUCUUCUUUUCAAGUCCUUUGCCACCUUUUCCUGUCUUUGUUACUUUUUCUUUGGAAAUUCCAAAUUUGGGUGUCUUUAAGUCACGUCCUUGGACCUGUGUUUCUGGUCCGUGUGUCUGUGAGCUGCCUGCGUCCUGGGUGUCCAACAGGGACAGUCUUGCUAUCCCUGUUUCCAGGCUCUGAAUCUCUUCCCAUUCCUGCUCCCAGCUCAUCCUGCGGCCUGCGCCAAUGCCGCUCCUGGGCUUGCUGUGCUCCCCUGCCUUGUGCUGGGUGCUCACGGGUUGUGUCUCCCUUUGGCCCCUGGCAGCCAUCCCUACCCCUUCUGCAGGAGCUCUGUCACCAAGGACGUGUGCUGGAAGGCCUGGUUCCACUCCCUGCUGCACAGGCGGCCCAGCCUCUUGCCACUGUGCUCUCUCCUCAGGCCUGCCUCCCGCGGGAGCCCCUGUGGCCCCUGGCCCAUCCUCCCAGGGGCCCAUUUCCCCCAGCACCCCAGCAGGAUGUGGCCUGCCGUGGGCCUCUCUGCCCAGUUGCCCGGCGGCAGAGGGUUCCUGUCCUGAACCCAUCUUAAAUCUGAAGUUCAGGAACUUCCUCCUCCUCUGGCGGCCUGGCCCUGCCUUCUGUGCCCGGAGCUCCUCCUGCCGCUGGGCCUCUGUGUCUGUGCUUGUCGGGGACACGUCUCGCGCAUCUCCAGGCUCGUGUGCCUCGGAGGAACUGUGUGAACGUCGAGGUCCAGGCCCCCGCUUGCUCUUUAGGGCUUGAAAUUUGGGCCAGGAGAGCCUUUCGUGGGGGCGCCUGCCACGGCUCUCCCUGGGCUUGGAGAUGAGCCUCUCCCGGUCACCAUCUGCCUCCAGUGUCUUCGUCGGGGUCUCUGUACACUCGUCAGCCACAUCCUUGUCCUGAAACACAGGGGAGGGAACUCACUGGAGCUGGCGCAGAGCCUGGUGCCCUGUGCACGAGGACGCGGGGCAGCCUCUGCAGCCUCUCCUUGCCUGCUGAAGGGGCCUUACCUGCUCCUUGCCCUUGGAGUCUUGCCAAGGGCCAGAGACGGCCAGCUCCUCACCCUCUGGGGCACGCAGUUUCCGUUUGAUUCUGAACUGGAUCUUGUAAGGCUCCGAGUACUGAAGUAUCUUGAGAGCGUCUUCAUAUUUAAUGUCGUCAAAGAAGAUGGUGGCACUGAGCAGCUGAUCCCCUAGAGGAUAAAGGAACAGCUCUGGCUUAGUUCCCACUCCCACCAAGUCGG